GACGAACGCUGGCGGCGUGCUUAACACAUGCAAGUCGAACGGAAAGGCCUCUUUCGGGGGGUACUCGAGUGGCGAACGGGUGAGUAACACGUGAGUAACCUGCCCUUGACUUUGGGAUAACUUCAGGAAACUGGGGCUAAUACCGGAUAGGAGCUCCUGCUGCAUGGUGGGGGUUGGAAAGUUUCGGCGGUUGGGGAUGGACUCGCGGCUUAUCAGCUUGUUGGUGGGGUAGUGGCUUACCAAGGCUUUGACGGGUAGCCGGCCUGAGAGGGUGACCGGCCACAUUGGGACUGAGAUACGGCCCAGACUCCUACGGGAGGCAGCAGUGGGGAAGAUUGCACAAUGGGUGGAAGCCGGAUGCAGCAACGCCGUGUGUGGGAGGACGGCCUUCGGGUUGUAAACCGCUUUCGCUCAUGACGAAGCUUUGUGUGACGGUAGUGGGUAAAGAAGCACCGGCUAACUACGUG
rnacentral:rRNA from 1 species